UACGUAGGGUGCGAGCGUUGUCCGGAUUUAUUGGGCGUAAAGAGCUUGUACGGCGGCUCGUCGCCGUCGGGUGUGAAAACUUGCGGCUUAACCGCAAGCCUGCACCCGAUACGGGCGGGCUAGAGUUCGGCAGGGGAGACUGGAAUUCCUGGUGGUAGCGGUGGAAUGCGCAGAUAUCAGGAGGAACACCGGUGGCGAAGGCGGGUCUCUGGGCCGAUGACUGACGCUGAGAAGCGAAAGCGUGGGGAGCGAACAGG
rnacentral:rRNA from 1 species